CCUACGGGAGGCUGCAGUGGGGAAUAUUGCACAAUGGGCGCAAGCCUGAUGCAGCCAUGCCGCGUGUGUGAAGAAGGCCUUCGGGUUGUAAAGCACUUUCAGCGGGGAGGAAGGCGGUGAGGUUAAUAACCUCAUCGAUUGACGUUACCCGCAGAAGAAGCACCGGCUAACUCCGUGCCAGCAGCCGCGGUAAUACGGAGGGUGCAAGCGUUAAUCGGAAUUACUGGGCGUAAAGCGCACGCAGGCGGUCUGUCAAGUCGGAUGUGAAAUCCCCGGGCUCAACCUGGGAACUGCAUUCGAAACUGACAGGCUAGAGUCUUGUAGAGGGGGGUAGAAUUCCAGGUGUAGCGGUGAAAUGCGUAGAGAUCUGGAGGAAUACCGGUGGCGAAGGCGGCCCCCUGGACAAAGACUGACGCUCAGGUGCGAAAGCGUGGGGAGCAAACAGGAUUAGAUACCCUAGUAGUC
rnacentral:rRNA from 1 species